GGGCUGCAGUCUCCCCAGGUUGUGAUCUGAGCGGCCCAGCAGGGGGAGGAGGUGUUUGCAUCCUUGACGUUUGCAUACAGUAAGUCCAAAGUUUUAUUGUCUAUUGUUGGGCAGUUUACAUACUGGCUGAAGGUAGGGAGAGUGGAGGACAGCGAUGCAUGAUUAAAGUCUCCAGAGAUGAUGAUCAGAGACUGAGGGUGUGAUGUUUGUAGCUUGGACACUUCACUAUGGAGGAGUUCACAGGCUGCAGCAUGCAUCAGCCGAGGGGGGAUGUAAACAGUUAACGCGAUGACGUGCGAAAACUCCCUCGCCAGGUAAUAUGGCCGCAAACUCACAGCCAGCAGCUCAAUGUCCUUAGAGCUGUGCUAGUGCUCUUUAACACUGAUGUGCCCAGCAUUACACCAUCUCUCAUUCACAUACACCGCUAUCCCGCCUCCUUUCUUCUUACCACUCUUCCUCCCGCUCCGGUCCGCUCUGACGAGGUAAAAUCCGUCCAAAGUUAUGAGUGGGUCCGGAGCAUAGACUGUAUAUAAGAUGGACGCCGUCUGUCUCCUCGCCGGGUGAAGCCACUCCGAGAACAGCACCCCCUAGAGCGUGGCUGCAGUACAAGUCAUAAACCCCACUUCUGCCAGCAAAGUGAAUGGAGCGGCGGACGGCCUUUAGAAAUUAAUUUCACAGAAAAUACACUUUUCUCACCCCCGACUGCGAUGUUGACAUGUAGUUAUUAUUAGACUGGUUUGUGUUCAGGCCUUUUUUUCUCUCUGCAGCUCCAUUUUAAAAAGUUAUAAGGAGUUAUAAAAACAGGAAAUUGCGUCAUUCUCUACACUUUGCACUUGCUGCUUGUGCGUCGCUCUUUUUUGUCCAUCGUCAAGACCGAUCGGGUUUGCCAGCGGAGAAGAGGAUUACAUUUUUCCAUCGUUUUUCUCUUUUAUUGCAUUGGAAAAAUGAGUUGUUCUGCAGUAAACUGUGUUAACCGACAUGUGAAAUCAGGAACUUUGCAGUUGUUUCGGUAAGUUAUGUUUUUUUUAUGAAGUCAUCAGCUUGCUAGCUACAUAACAUUAAACGGUCUGGUUUAAUUUAGCUAAUGGGGUUUACUUACAGAUAUCAAGCGGUAAGUUCUGUGCCGCUAAUAAGCGUUUUUAUUAGAAGUUAAACAAUGAGGAAACCCCUUAAAAUCCGCCUUCUUUUUAUAACAAUAUUAUGACUAUGUGACUUUGAAUUUGAAUUAAAAACCGUACCGAUCCCACAGAUUCAUACUAGCAACCAAAUACUACCACAGAGUAUCAGGGCAUGAAAUGAAAACUCGAGGCAUGAAGUCAUAAUGUUAAAGGAAUUAAUUCGCAUUUAAGUCAUUCCCCUAAUAUUGCAUCACUGUAUGAGAACAAGGCCAUGUAAAUGAAUAUAAUGAGAGUCAUGAUGUUAUGAGUCGAAGUUUUGGUAAUGGAUCAACCAGUUUUACUCGGGUAUGUUACAAUGAGAGCAGCCUGCGCUAAAAUCAGGUAUGGUUUAAUUAAAAUGCAUCUUUCGGAUGCACCGUCCUAGCUUUCUGGCAGAGGAUUGACCGCCGGUUCAGUCUCCUCCGUAGAGCGGCAGUAGUAUUACAGCUUCUGUUGACAUAAUGAUAUUUGUCUAAGAUAAAGCUCUGAAACUGUCUUUAAUGGGACAAAACGUCGAGAAAACGAGACCCUAUAAGUGUAUAGAAGGACAUGCUCAAAAGAUUACUUAUACAAGUUGCAUAACUGUUAUUUAUUUUAUGUUAUCAAAUAACAUACAUAAGUCAUAAGUAUACUUCUGUGGAAUGACAAUUAUCAUUUACAGCAGCAUGGUAGAUCAUGUCUUACUUAAGUUUUCAAGAUAGAUAGAUAGAUAGAUAGAUAGAUAGAUAGCCCUGUUACCUAUGAGAUUGAGAUAAAACUAUGAGUAAUGUAAUUAGUUAUGGAAAGACAGCUGCAUAUGACAUACUUAAUCAAUCACAAUGACAUUAAAAUUUUUGUUACAUGCAAAGAAAUCCCUCAAUUUUGAUAGGAUGUUCAUAAGACAUAUCACUCACAAGAUGAAAUGAUUUGGAUUAUUUAUACAGUUUGUAUAUUCAUUCACUUGAGGUAUUUUUUGUGAUUGUCUUUGAAUUGAGUUUUGGCUUCAGCCUGUUAUGCAACAAAGCAAGAAUUAAACUGAACGCAAAACAUUAACUUUGUGUUGUUUACAAACUUGACAAAUGGCAGUAAGCAAUGUUAUUGUAUUUUUGUAUAGUUUCCCUUUAGGUGACAAAGCGAGGCUGAAGCAGUGGCUGGUGAACACAAGACGGCAGGACUGGAAACCAACAGGAUCAUCACGUCUUUGCAGUGCUCAUUUUGAAGAGCAUGCCUUUGCUGUGGACUCAAAGGUUAAAUUAUUUCUUUUUUAAUGGACAGCAAUUUUUAUGAAGUUCACAUUUGCAACAAUUUAUUGUUAAAUUGACUAACACUUUGAAUCAUAAAAUGGCGGUUAUUUAAACAUUCCCAAGAGCUGAACACUACAGCUAUUGUGGUUCCAUUUUAAAUUACUGCUGUUUUUAUGUUUUCUAAAAUUAGGUAUUUGCAUGUAGUUGUAGUGUCUGCUACCAUCUACUGGUCAUUAUUAGUUAGUGUCAUCAGUCAUUUUCAGUUUAAGUUGGCGCAGCCUGGAGUAAAAAAAACAGGAAUCAUGUUGCAAAAAAAAUUUGAGUGAUACCACAUGAACAACUUCUUAUGCUUAGACCAAAAUGUGCCCUGUUAGAUAAAGGUAACAGCACUAGCCAAGUAGUAGUCUCUAAGAAUGCUAACUAAAUGAAACCUUUUAAUUAAUUGGACAAGUAUAUCAAAACCUCUAAAGUUUUCAUGCUGAGCUACCACCUGGUUUGAGACAUUAAGUGAAUUUGAGAAUUUAAGUACUGGUAUUCACAAUUUAAUUGAUGAAUUUCUUUGUGUUUUUCAGACUUCAUCACCAACCACUGAUGAUAUGGUGGAUUCAUCUGCUGCAGCCUGUUUCCUUUCCACCCAAUGCAACUCCCAAAGUACUAGAUUAUAUCUUUUUAAGUUCCUGGUAAAAUAACAAACAUACAGGUUUUCUGCAAAGGAGUUAAGUAUUUAUAAAUCACAAAUAAAUACUAAAAUGCUAGUGUCCUCUCACAAGUGUCCAUGUCAUGCUAUCUGAUUUACAUUAAUUACAUGCUGUUCACUACACAUAUUGUCAGUUUGUUUUUUCAGUUUUACCACACUUUGUCCACUUCAUGGAGAGGACUCGCACACAGAAAGAUGGAAAAGACAAAUGUCUUGAAAAGUUGGAUCCCUUUUAUUGCUAGGAAUAAAAUGGAUCCAACUUUUUUUGACAUUUGUCUUUUCCAUCUUUCUGUGUGUGAGUCUUUUACAGCCUUUUUGAAUUGUCUUAUCUGACCAUUACACCAGAAGCAAGAAUACUAGGACUGAUGUUAGGCUCUUUUCUUGUUAAUCACUUGAUGAUGAGUACAUAAGAAAUGCAUUGACUUUGUUGUGGUAUGUUUUUUUCUUUUGAUAGCUUUACAUGAAAAAUAAAAUUUUGAGACAAAUACUCUGGAAUAAUAAAGCAUAUACUGUGUUUUUUCAUCUGUGCUGUAAAUCAGAAAACUUUAUCAUGGUACAACAAAUCACAGAAAAGCAUGUGAAGUUUCAACAUUAAUUUAAUUUUUCUAACAAUCAAAAACAUCCCCAGCUACAUUCGUCGUGGGGAAAACGCCUUGAGGAAGACCAUCGGGUGGAAUGGCUGGGGUACGGCAGAAAGUUUGUAGGACAGAGAGAGAGAGAGAAGGAGGAAGAAGAGCUGUGACAGAAUUGAACAGUGUGAUGGUUACCUUUGUAAAACAAACUUCACAAAAUUGUGCUCGAGUAAACAAUUAAACAAAAUGUGCACAUCAAUCACAAAUAAAGCAGAUAAAUC